rnacentral:misc_RNA from 1 species
GAAAUGCGAUACUUGGUGUGAAUUGCAGAAUCCCGUGAACCAUCGAGUCUUUGAACGCAAGUUGCGCCCGAAGCCAUUCGGCCGAGGGCACGUCUGCCUGGGCGUCACGCAUCGCGUCGCCUCCCGCACCCACACCCCACGGGGAUAUUGGGUGUCGGGGGCGGAAAUUGGCCCCCCGUGUGAUUUACCGCGCGGCCGGCCUAAAUGUGAACCCGUGGCGACUCGCGUCACGACAAGUGGUGGUUGAACACUCGACUCUCGUGCUGUCGUGCCGUUUUGAGUUGGCCGUCGGGCUUCGUCGCAGACCCAGUGGUGCGAUCCUAUCGCACCUUCGACCGCGACCCCAGGUCAGGCGGGAUUACCCGCUGAGUUUAA